CAUCAGAGGUCAGGAGGGCUAAACUGGUGAUCUAGCUCUGCCGCUUACCAGCCGUGGGGCUUUGGAGAAGGGACUGCAACUCUUUGCCCUACAGUUUUCUCAACUGCACAGUGGGAUCAACAAUACCUGUCCCAUAGAGCUGGUGGAUCAAGUGAAUUAUUCUACAUAUAUGUGCUUUGUUGAAAGAAAAUAAGGCCUGUAGUUUGUGUGUAGCUCUGUUGUAGGUCUAUGUAUUAGCUGGAAGUCUGCUCCACUUGGCAUUUUAUUCUGUAAUCAAGGCUGAAGGAACAGCUUCUUUCUGGGAUGUUCUGUUCUUGCGGCAGUGGGCAAAAGCACAAGACAAAUCAAGAAUUGCAAAGGAUAAGCACAUGAAGCAAUGAGGAAAAGGAUUGAAGCUCAUCAAUAUGGUUGUCCUGAAAAGUCAGAGAAGGAAAGAGAGCAUCAAUCAAAAUGAUGACUACCUGGAAGACAGACUGGAAUCAUUGGGUGUAUAGCAGAAAAUAACCUUUAAUAGCCCAGCAACUCCUGAGGGCAUUAUUGUUCUACAUUAUAUGAUGAUAUAUUCAAAUGACUCAGUAUUGUACAUUCUCUAAAUAUUCAAGAAAGUGAGUAGACUUCUAAUAUCAGCACAGAUAUAAUCAAUGUUCUGUGACAUUAAUUUAACAUUAUAUAAUAUAGAACAUAAAACAAAAGUUAGACUUUUUUAAAUGAAGGACAGGACUGCAAAUUUUAUAUAACUAUGUUAUGACCUGAUAAUAAUAUAACACAUAUUUCUAAGUAUAUGACUCCCUGCCAAGAUUAAUAAUGCCCUCAGACUGCUGUAAGCAUGUUAUACUUUGAUAAGUUGCUAACGUAAUUCCUGAUAAGAGAAGAGAAAACUUUAUCAUUUAGGUAACAGAUUAUGGUACGAUCUUUCAAAUAACCAGAUGACAUUGUAUAUUUUAUUGAUUUGUUUGAUUUCCAUGUAACCAAAGAUUAAAGAUGAGAUACUGAAGAUGUGGUACAUAUACACAAUGUUAUUCAGCCAUAAAAAGAAAAGAAAUCCUGCCAUUGUGACAACAUGGAUGGACCUAGAGGGUAUUAAUUGUUCAGUGAAAUAAGCCAGGCAGAGAAAGAGAAGUACCAUAUGAUUUCACUUAUUUAUGGAAUAUAAAAGCAAAACAGAAUGAACAGAACAGCUGUACACUUAUAGACACUGGAAAGUACUAGUGGUUACCAUGGCA